GCCUUAGAUGCAACUUCCGACUAGUCCUAAUGAAUAAUCCUCAAGAUGUAACCUAUAAUUUGAUAGAAGAGGUGGAUAAAAACCACAUUGUAUGGGGAAGCAUGUGACAAGUUACAACUAAGUAUACCCCUAAGAUCGAUGGUAUCUAUAAGGUUAAUGCGAAGUUAAUGGGCAUACUGAUAGACAUUGUCAAAUGAUCAUCAUGGGAGGAUCCAUUCAAGAAAAUGCUAACUUUGUGAACAAUAAGCAAAGGAAC
rnacentral:lncRNA from 1 species